CUCCGCCGCUGCUCCAGCAUCACUCAACACCGGCGGACCUCCAUCGCAGCAGCCCGCUCUCCGCGACACCCACGGCUCGACGCCAAUCCGGGCUACCCUCCGCUCCGAGUCCCCGACGCCUGAGUCUUCCUCCGCCCGAGCGUCUGCCGAUUACCAUUCGCAAAGCCGACGCCGGUGGCCGUCCGCCCACACGUGAUUCGUGCGCCGCAUCCCUCUGUUGCCGUCGGCUCACCGGCCUACCUUAGCCGGAGCUCUGAACGCCGACGACCCAACCUCCGGUGAUCCAUCGAAGCCGCUCAACCGUAGGUGAAGAAAGCAAGAAAAGAAAAACAAAAACAAAAGAAAAAGAGAAAAGCAAAUUAGGCAUUAUACGUAAGGAUUUUGUCCGAACUUAUUGUAAUUAUUAAUUUGAUCCGAGAGACAUCGGAUCAAUUUUUUAAUUAUAUUAAGUUUCAGGCUUUUUGAUGGUAUUUUGGUUGUUAAAUCAAUGUAAUUAUUAAUUUGAUCCGUAAGACUUCGGAUUAGAUUUUUAAUUA